UUAUUCUCAGUGAGGAGCAAAUGAGGCUAAAAUGUAGGCUCGCUGAGGACAGGACCCAGGUCUCACCUUCUUCAUCAUCUGCUUUCCAGAGCUUAACACAUACUUGAGAAAACUCUCCAUGGAAGGGGUUCUGCAUUUUUACUAAUAAGUGCCAUUGAACUGAAAAAUGUUUAAACCUGUAAAUCAUAAGUGCCUAGAUGUGGCGCUUGCUUAUUCAACAGUGCGGAGGCUGGAGGUCCUGAUGGCCUUUGUUUCCUCCUCCAGGAAGGGUCUGCGUGCCAUGAUUCCUUCCACCCCUCUCCCCACACACACCACCUAGAAUGUCAGCGAGAGGUUCAGUUCAUGGGAUGAGCAGCACAUAUCUGAGAAAUUAAUAUGGAAAAUAUCAAUUACAGUGGAUGAGCCUUAAGUAUCAGUUACACAUUAAUGCAUCUUAAUUUAAUCAGAUAAUUUCUGGGCACCCACUACUGGUCGCUUUUGUGCUAGGUGCGGUGUUUCUGUGGUCAGCACGGCACACAGCACUGGGGAGACGUAGUCAGCAAAGACGGGGCAAAUUUACCUUUAUGAUCAUUUCUGAGAGUGAGCAGUACAACAACCACAACAACAGGGGAGUAAUGAUGCAGCGUGACUUGGGAUGGAGAGAAAGUGUUAGUCAGGGGAUCAAGGACACCUCACAGAAGGGGUGUUUUUUGGUUUAAAAUCUGGAAUAGUUAAAGGUGCCAGCAGGGUACACCUGGGGAGGAAUUUUAUAAGCUAGAAUGAAGAGAAAGUCUAAAUGCCAAGAGGUGAGAAUAAGCACAGAAUUCCCACUGGGGCUCAGCAAGUUAAGAAGCCAACAUACAAGGGCAGGGAUCGAACCCGCAACCUCAUGGCCCCUAGUCAGAUUCGUUAACCACUGCGCCACGACGGGAACUCCAGAGUCACUGUCAGCUUUGAGCCCACUGCUUUACAUAAAUAUUAGGGGAAAAGAUCUCUCCUAAUAAGGGUUGAAAACAUACUUUUUUUUUUCCUGCUUUUUUAGGGCCUCACCCGCUGUAUAUGGAGGUUCCCAGGCUAGAGGUCAGAUCAGAACUACAGCUGCCGGCCUACACCACAGCCACAGCAAUGUGGGAUCCAAGCUGCAUUUGUGACCUACACCACAGCUCAUGGCAAUGCUGGAUCCUUAACCCCCUGAGUGAGACCAGGGAUCAAACCCGCAUCCUCAUGGAUCCUAGUCAGUUUCAUUAACCAGGAAAGCCAUGAAGGGAACUCUGAGAACCAUGAGCCAUGAAGGGAACUCAGAGAACAUACUUAUAAUAAAUGCCCCAAUUUUGCUUUCUAGAAGUGGAAAUCAUCAAGCUCGACAAGGAGGAGAAAAGGAAGCCACAUGCAGAAGGAAGGAAAGGGGAGCGACGGGUAGAAUGUGGAUGCUUAUGCACCAGACUCUAUCCAGGGUGAUACACAUUUAUCAUGUGUAAUCCUCAUAAACGAUGAGGUACUGGCCCCAUUAUCCUAGCCGGUAGAUAUGGAAACAGAGAGAGAGACUUAGCCAUGUCCCCUCAUAAUUCGCCGGGCUGAUGAAGGGCAUGGAGAAGGCAGAACUGCACACAGAAGGUAUCAGCUUCUGCUGUGUUUGCUGUUCUGAAAUCUGAGUCUUGCUGUGAACCGAAUGUCCUGCACAUUCUGUAUUUCCUGGUGCCAUCACAGUUCUCACCCCUCUGUGCCUACCCCUCUCCCUACACUCUUUCUCAGAUGGAAGACAGAACUAUGCCUAUGGCUGGCUGUGCUCAGAGCCCAUUCAGUGCUGCUGGGUGAGAAGGGCUGUUGUCCCAUGAUGACCCAUGUGGCUGGUGGGGCUUGGUGGGACCUGACACUUACACUGUAUCCAUAGUCAGGUAGGGGGCCCAACAUCUGCUAAGCUUUGCCCGCACACAUUCUAGUGAGGGUGGUGUGGGGGAGAGGGUGAGGAGAAUUUCUAUUUUCUAAUCCUAAAAAUCUCACUUUUAUGCACCAAAAAGGGGAGGGGUAAAAGGAGAAAGACUGAAGCAGUGCAGGGAAGAGAUUAAGAAAUUUCCUUGAGAGUGGAAGCCCUUCCUGGAAUAAUCAGUGCCAGAAGAAAAAGGCCACUGAAUUAGGAUAUAUUGGCAACUGUGCUGAAAUUUAAAAAAAAAAUAAAAAAGGAAAGGAGAGAAGCAGGUGAUUUAGCUUUGUCUAGUUGUGAGGUAGGAUUUAGGUGUGAGAAAAGGCCUUGCAGAGGAACCCAGAAUCCUUGGAAAAUGCACCCAGGGCCCCAAGAGACAUCCACCCUGCAAUCUGGUGGUUUUGGAUGUUCAGGACCCAAGAGCCUCCUCAGCAUCUCCUUCCCUCACCCUGGGGAAGGACACAGCUGCUGCAAGAAAAGGGGGUGCCCAGUGCCACCCAGGGCCAUUGCUCUCCCCCUGACCUGUGCUAAAGCCUUGUGUUGUUAAACCACAUAGAAGUGGGUAAAUACAGACCAGACGGAAUGAGCCAGUCAGGGCCUGGGCACAAUGGGCAAAAUAAGUCAGGGCUGCACACAGCCAUCCACCAGACCCCUUUCCCAAGACUUCUGAUCUCAGGGUCACCUCAGGAGAGGUGGAGAAGGGAGCCAGGAGCACUCAAACACCUCAGAAGAACCCACGCUGUUGCUGUGACAAUGCUGGAUCCUUAACCUGUGGCGCCACCAGGGAAGUCCUAAAGUAUACCACAUAUAUUUUAAAAAUUUAUUUAUUUAUUUUUUGCUUAUUUUUCUAGGGCCACACCCACAGCACAUGGAAGUUCCCAGGCUAGGAGUCAGAUCGGAGCUGCAGCUGCCAGCCUACACCACAGCCACAGCAACAUGGGAUCUGAGCCACGUCUGUGACCUACACCACAACUCACGGCAACCCCAGAUCCUUUUGCUCCACUGAGCAAAGCCAGGUAUCAAACUUGCAUCCUCAUGGAUCCUAGUCUGGUUCGUUAACUGCUAAGCCACGAAGGGAACUCGCCACAUAUUUUUAAAGCAAAAUAUCACUUUAGGCCAUUUCAAUAAUAAGUCCCGAAUAUCAUGUUAGUGGAAUCCUCCUUGCCCAAACUGAUUCCAUUUAAUUUGUUCAUUGAGGAACAAAUGCACAUUUGUUUAGGUAGAGGUACACUGACAUUCAGGUACCUGAUAUAUUUAAGGCAACAUGGAACAGAUAUUUCAUUUUCU
rnacentral:lncRNA from 1 species